rnacentral:rRNA from 1 species
UGGGAACGUACCCUUUGGUUCGGAACAACCCAGGGAAACUUGGGCAAUACCGGAUACGUCCGUAAGGAGAAAGAUUUAUCGCCAUUGGAUGGGCCCGCGUCGGAUUAGCUAGUUGGUGAGGUAACGGCUCACCAAGGCAACGAUCCGUAGCUGGUCUGAGAGGAUGAUCAGCCACACUGGGACUGAGGCACGGCCCAGACUCCUACGGGAGGCAG